rnacentral:rRNA from 1 species
GUGCCUAACACAUGCAAGUCGAGCGGUAACGGGCGUAGCAAUACGUGCUGACGAGCGGCGAACGGGUGAGUAACGCUUCGGAAUCUGCCCAAUGGUGGGGAAUAACCAGCCGAAAGGUUGGCUAAUACCGCAUGAGCCCUACGGGGGAAAGCGGGGGAUCGCAAGACCUCGCGCCGAUGGAUGAGCCGAAGCCGGAUUAGCUAGUUGGUAGGGUAACGGCCUACCAAGGCGACGAUCCGUAGCUGGUCUGAGAGGACGAUCAGCCACACUGGGACUGAGACACGGGCCAG